UACGGAGGGGGGCGAGCGUUUAUUCGGAAUUAUUGGGGCGUAAAAGGGCGCGUAGGCGGCUGCACAAGUCAAAAGGUGAAAAUCCCCUCGGCUCAACUGAGGAACUGCCUUUGAAACUGUGCGGCUUGAGGCCGGGAGGGGGUAGCGGAAUUCCCCAGUGUAGCGGUGAAAUUCGUAGAUAUUGGGGAAGAACACCGGUGGCGAAGGGCG
rnacentral:rRNA from 1 species